rnacentral:lncRNA from 1 species
CGCUCACGUCCACUGGCCCAGGCCCAAAGGAACUGGCUUAUGAUUUUACAAGGAGGAAAAAGGAGGAGGAAGAAGCGAAAGAAGAGGAAGAGGAGGAAAAAAGAAGAGGAGGAAGGUGUACAUUGAUGCCACUUUGAGAAGAAGUGGACUGUGGUGGAUUUGUAAUGCAUCAGUUUGGCCAAGCUGAAUGCACAUUUCCCAGAUUUGCCAUCUUUAGAUAGCUCUAGGUUAGCCUGGGCAACAGGAGACACUUGGAAGAUAGAAUUCAAGUGGCUAUUACACACUUUUGUAUGCUGGGAAGGGCGGUGUUACAGCUCAGGCAUGAUCUUCAGCUUCCCUGACCCUUGGACUGGUGGGUGUUUUGCUUCUUGAUCUAACAUUAAGGUUAGAAGUUGCAGGAUUCCAGCUGGGUUUUGCUACAUCCAAUCUGGUUUAAGUUCUCAUAUUAUUAGGAAAGCUUUAGGGUGCUUCAGGAAAACGCUUUUUAAAAAAUCAAAUUUGGAAAAUAUCAAAUGGAAUUAUAGGCAAUAAGCAUAACCCAGUGGAACCAUGAAUCAAACCCUCUGGAGCAGGGUUGUCUAAAUUUUGGCUUCCUUGGGCCACACUGGAAAAAAAAAGACACUUGUCUUGGGCCAAACAUAAUAUACACUAAUCGCAAUUGAACUGUACCUGUAAAGCUUGUAAACAAAAUGUGUCUGUAAAGUCUGUAAACAGGCCAGGUGCGGUGGCUCAGGCCUGUAAUCCCAACGCUUUGGGAGGCCGCGAGGCAGGCGGAAAACUUGAGGUCAGGAGUUCAAGACCAGCGUGGCCAACAUGGUGA